rnacentral:SRP_RNA from 1 species
GAAAGGUCAUAAGGCAAUGGGGCGCUUCUGAAUCGUGUCAGGUCCGGAAGGAAGCAGCACUAAGGUUGAUGCAACAUGUGCCUUUUGUUUUGAAUAU